UGAGACUCCAAGCAAACUUGACUCAGAGACUUCAGUCUCACUGUGUGCACAGAUAUUAUUUGGGAUAAAAAGAUCAUGCAGCAGUUUGAGGUGUGCAAUUUGCCUUCUGCUGCAGAAAAAGCAAUCCUCCUGCCACCUCCUGUGUGACCUGGAAGUCUCCCAUCUAACCCUCCAGCAAGGCAUUUUGUGAAAUGCGUCACACUCUGAAAGGAAGGUGGCAGAGAGGACAGUUCCUGCCUCAAGACAG
rnacentral:lncRNA from 12 species